rnacentral:rRNA from 1 species
GACGAACGCUGGCGGCGUGCUUAACACAUGCCAGUCGAACGGUAAGGCUCCAGCUUGCUGGGGUACACGAGUGGCGAACGGGUGAGUAACACGUGGGUGACCUGCCCUGCACUUCGGGAUAAGCCUGGGAAACUGGGUCUAAUACCGGAUAGGACCGCACCGUGAGGGUGUGGUGGAAAGUUUUUUCGGUGUGGGAUGGGCCCGCGGCCUAUCAGCUUGUUGGUGGGGUAAUGGCCUACCAAGGCGGCGACGGGUAGCCGGCCUGAGAGGGUGGACGGCCUCAUUGGGACUGAGACACGGCCCAGACUCCUACGGGAGGCAGCAGUGGGGAAUAUUGCACAAUGGGCGGAAGCCUGAUGCAGCGACGCCGCGUGGGGGAUGACGGCCUUCGGGUUGUAAACUCCUUUCACCAUCGACGAAGGGUUUCUGACGGUAGAUGGAGAAGAAGCACCGGCUAACUACGUG